GCAGAUGGUUCGCGGCGAAGGCGUCACGUCGCUGUGGAGAGGCUCGUCGAUGACGAUCAACAGAGCGAUGCUCGUGACGGCGUCGCAGCUGGCUACGUACGACUCGGUGAAAGAAACGAUUUUGGAGAAAGGGUUGAUGAGAGACGGGCUUGGGACGCACGUGACGUCGAGCUUCGCGGCGGGGUUUGUGGCUUCGGUCGCGUCGAACCCGGUGGAUGUGAUUAAGACGAGAGUGAUGAAUAUGAAGGUGGAGGCGGGGAAAACGGCGCCGUAUAAGGGAGCGGUUGAUUGCGCGUUGAAGACGGUGAGAGCGGAAGGGAUCAUGGCUUUAUACAA
rnacentral:lncRNA from 1 species